rfam:Biomphalaria glabrata isolate BB02 unplaced genomic scaffold LGTN_random_Scaffold1552, whole genome shotgun sequence.
UUCAUGGCUGAGUGGUAAAGCGCUUGGCUUCCGAACGGGGGUCCCGGGUUUGAAUCCUGGUGAA